UGUGAUGGGGUGAAAUCAUGGCAGUGUGAUUUUCAAACACCAACUUGCCUUGGAAGGGAAUGUGGGGAUGUGCACUGCUGGAAGCCAUGUGUGUUCUGAUAUGAGAAGAACUUCUUCAGAAGGUAUCUUAAGAAGAUGAUGACUUCUCUGCAACUAAGAUGAAGAUGCACUGAACUCUGGGGUUUGAAAUGCAACGUUAGAACUUCAGACUCCCGGCACCUAGGUCUCCAGCUGCUGGGUGGUGCCAGCAUCAGAGAUACACUCUGCAAAACAUAUACUGUCUUAGGAAAAAGUGACCCUGUUGUCCUUUCAGGCCCAUAUUCCACAAGAAGACAAAUUGAGAUGUAAAAGGAAAACUGCAGCUCCGAGUGAAGAGAGAGCAAGUUGUCUUUUCUGAUACAGCCAGGAAAUAAGAUGUUCUGGUUAAUAUGUGCUAAAGAUGUGGUGCUGACUUUCCGACUCAGAAUAUGAUCACAUGUUUUUCUCAUUAAAACUAUAUUGAAU
rnacentral:lncRNA from 1 species